UCUGUCUAUUUCUCCUGCAGAGUGAGCUGGACUUGGAAAAGGGCUUGGAGAUGAGAAAAUGGGUCCUGUCGGGAAUCCUGGCUAGCGAGGAGACUUACCUGAGCCACCUGGAGGCACUGCUGCUGCCAUGAAGCCUUUGAAAGCCGCUGCCACCACCUCUCAGCCGGUGCUGACGAGUCAGCAGAUCGAGACCAUCUUCUUCAAAGUGCCUGAGCUCUACGAGAUCCCAGCUUCAUGGUGGAGCUGGUGGAGGGGGCCCGCAAGCUGCGCCACGUCUUCCUGUUCACCGACCUGCUUCUCUGCACCAAGCUCAAGAAGCAGAGCGGAGGAAAACGCAGCAGUAUGACUGCAAAUGGUACAUUCCGCUCACGGAUCUCAGCUUCCAGAUGGUGGAUGAACUGGAGGCA
rnacentral:lncRNA from 1 species